rnacentral:rRNA from 1 species
AACGAACGCUGGCAGCAGGCUUAACACAUGCAAGUCGAGCGCCCCGCAAGGGGAGCGGCAGACGGGUGAGUAACGCGUGGGAAUCUACCCAUCUCUACGGAAUAACGCAUGGAAACGUGUGCUAAUACCGUAUACGUCCUUCGGGAGAAAGAUUUAUCGGAGAUGGAUGAGCCCGCGUUGGAUUAGCUAGUUGGUGGGGUAAAGGCCUACCAAGGCGACGAUCCAUAGCUGGUCUGAGAGGAUGAUCAGCCAAACUGGGACUGAGACACGGCCCAGACUCCUACGGGAGGCAGCAGUGGGGAAUAUUGGACAAUGGGCGCAAGCCUGAUCCAGCCAUGCCGCGUGAGUGAUGAAGGCCCUAGGGUUGUAAAGCUCUUUCACCGGUGAAGAUAAUGACGGUAACCGGAGAAGAAGCCCCGGCUAACUUCGUGCCAGCCGCCGCGGUAACAC